rnacentral:lncRNA from 1 species
CAACAAGUGACGCUAACACCCGCUCCUCCAUACUUCAAACAUUUGGGGGAAUUUCCAGCUUACUUGGGUGACUUCUUAGACAUUUCACAUCUUCUCUCAUUCUGGUCUCUCUCACGGAAGGGUAUCUUUGGAACCAAAACCUCCUGCCGUAUGGCCAGGGGAAGAGGCCGUGGUGGAGAGGAGCAGAGAGAACCUUUCGUCCUGCAAGUGGGUGUUUUGUUUGGAGGAGAACUGGCUGGCUGUCACCUGAAGAAUCACCUGCAAGCCCCGGGAGCUGCCGCGGGGAUACUGAACAGUGGGAACCACUGCUCUGUCGGAUUUGAGGGCAUCUGCAGACAGUGUUGGAUUUCAUGUGACAAUCAUCAUGGACAACAUGGAAAAAGGUGACAUUUUGAUCUGCUAUGACUGCUUGUGAGAAGCAAUGUCAAUUCAAGGCCUAAAUCAUCUCAGCACCCCAGCUCCCUAGAUUAUCAACAAACUGAGAAAAUGCAGCUUGAUUCAUUUUUAUCCUUGCUCUUUGCCUUCUUCUAAAAUUAAAAUUUGACUAUGGCAAUUCAAUUUAUUUUGUUACCCCUUUCCUCUGCUAAAAUAAAAUAAAAAAUACCUUCA